UACGGGGGGGGCAAGCGUUGUCCGGAUUUAUUGGGCGUAAAGAGCUCGUAGGCGGCUCGGUAAGUCGGAUGUGAAACCUCCAGGCUCAACCUGGAGACGCCAUCUGAUACUGCCGUGGCUUGAGUCCGGUAGAGGAGCAGGGAAUUCCUGGUGUAGCGGUGAAAUGCGCAGAUAUCAGGAGGAACACCAGCGGCGAAGGCGCUGCUCUGGGCCGGUACUGACGCUGAGGAGCGAAAGCGUGGGGAGCAAACAGG
rnacentral:rRNA from 1 species